rnacentral:rRNA from 1 species
CGCCCUUGAGUUUGAUCAUGGCUCAGAUUGAACGCUGGCGGCAGGCCUAACACAUGCAAGUCGAGCGGUAGAGAGAAGCUUGCUUCUCUUGAGAGCGGCGGACGGGUGAGUAAUGCCUAGGAAUCUGCCUGGUAGUGGGGGAUAACGUUCGGAAACGGACGCUAAUACCGCAUACGUCCUACGGGAGAAAGCAGGGGACCUUCGGGCCUUGCGCUAUCAGAUGAGCCUAGGUCGGAUUAGCUAGUUGGUGAGGUAAUGGCUCACCAAGGCGACGAUCCGUAACUGGUCUGAGAGGAUGAUCAGUCACACUGGAACUGAGACACGGUCCAGACUCCUACGGGAGGCAGCAGUGGGGAAUAUUGGACAAUGGGCGAAAGCCUGAUCCAGCCAUGCCGCGUGUGUGAAGAAGGUCUUCGGAUUGUAAAGCACUUUAAGUUGGGAGGAAGGGUUGUAGAUUAAUACUCUGCAAUUU